GCCAGUGUGGCUCAUUUGGUUGGAGCGUUGUCCUGUACACCAAAAGGCCUGGGUUCAAUUCCCAGUCAGGGCA
rfam:Myotis lucifugus cont2.13036, whole genome shotgun sequence.